AUGCUCAUUUCAGCAGCACAUAUACUAAAACUGGAAUGAUACAGAGAUUAGCACGGUCCCUGCACAAGGAUGACAUGAAAAUUUGUGAAGUGUUCCAUAUUAAA
ensembl:snRNA RNU6-642P RNA, U6 small nuclear 642, pseudogene